rnacentral:rRNA from 1 species
AGUUUGAUCAUGGCUCAGAAUGAACGUUGGCGGCGUGGAUUAGGCAUGCAAGUCGUGCGAGAAGUUCCUUCGGGAAUGGACAGCGGCGAAAGGGAGAGGAAUACGUAGAAAUCUACCCUCGGGUCUGGGAUAGCGUCGGGAAACUGGCGGUAAUACCAGAUAACGUCUUCGGACCAAAGGUGUGAUUCCACCUGAGGAUGAGUCUACGUCCUAUUAGCUAGUUGGCGGGGUAAUGGCCCACCAAGGCAACGAUGGGUAGCGGGUGUGAGAGCACGAUCCGCCUCACUGGGACUGAGACACUGCCCAGACACCUACGGGUGGCUGCAGUCGAGAAUCUUUGUCAAUGGACGAAAGUCUGAACAAGCGACGCCGCGUGCGGGAUGAAGGCCCUCGGGUUGUAAACCGCUGUCGUAGGGGAACAAAUGUUUAGGGGUUCUCCCCUUUAUUUGAGUGAUCCUAGGAGGAAGGACGGGCUAAGUUCGUGCCAGCAGCCGCGGUAAGACGAACCGUCCGAACGUUAUUCGGUAUCACUGGGCUUAAAGAGUUCGUAGGCGGCCUAGCAGGUCAGGUGUGAAAUCCCACAGCUCAACUGUGGAAUUGCGCUUGAUACCAUUAGGCUGGAGGGAGAUAGAGGUAAGCGGAACAGAUGGUGGAGCGGUGAAAUGCGUUGAUAUCAUCUGGAACACCGGUGGCGAAAGCGGCUUACUGGAUCUUUUCUGACGCUGAGGAACGAAAGCUAGGGUAGCGAACGGGAUUAGAUACCCCGGUAGUCCUAGCCGUAAACGAUGA